rnacentral:misc_RNA from 1 species
AACGCAUAUUGCACCCGACAGGUUUACUUGUCGGGUCUGCCUGUCUGAGUAUCAAUACGGACCCAAUCAAUAAAUAAUAUUUGUUGAAUUGGUGCUCACCACUUUUACUGGUGGUGGAUAUGAGUGUUUAACUGCUUAGAAAAGUGGUUAAUCGCUUGAAAUGUAUUGGUGUGCAUCAAUGUUUGUUGAUAAUUGCCAAUCGCUAAUGUAAAGCAUUGUUAAUCAUCUUUAGUUAGAUGUUCGUUGUUUUUAAUUAGCCUUGGAUCAAACGAUUAUUAGCCGUGCUUUAUUAUUAUUAAUAGAGCGUGUUAUUGAUACUAUCAUUUGAACACUCUUGUUAACUAAUCACUAACAAUAGAGCGUCCACUUUAGACCAUCUUGAUCUCAGAUCAGGCAGGAUGACCCGCUGAACUUAA